AACAGACCCACAUCUACUUGAGAGAAAGAGAGAGAGAGAGAGAGAGAGAGAGAGAGAGAAAGAAAGAAAGAAAUGGCGCCUCGAUGCUGCGCUCACUGAGGCAGUGUUUGGAGCUGGCUAGGGAGAUUCAGUAAGGGCAGACAAAAGGAAAAAACAUGGUGAACACAAGGAAAAGCUCACGGUCGGGGAGCGGUCCCUUCAUCUCCUCUAGGACUAGAUCGUCGUCGAGAACCGAGCGAAACUCUGAUGAACAUAAAGAACCCAGUAGUGAUGUGAGUAGUCCAAGCAGUCCACGGCGGGCUCCUCCUUCCAAGCGGAUGCGGCGCCAGACUGCCUCCGAGCCCAGCUCCAGUGAUACCUCCCCAUCCCCUCAGACCAAGGGCCAGAGGGUCAGCUGGGAAAUUCCCACCUACCACACCAGGUUGUCCUCUCGCAUAAUGCAAAAUGGACACGCCCAUAUGAGUCACCGGAAUGAAGAGAGUGGAGGGGGAGAUCACUCUCGCAUGAAUGGCCAUGUGGAGCUGAAGAGGAGCUGCCGGGUGAAGAAGAGCCAGUUUGAACACCUCAAUCAGAGCCUGCUGUUUGACCAGCUGGUCAACAGCACUGCUGAGGCUGUCCUUCAGGAGAUGGACAACAUCAGCAGCAUCAGGCAGAACCGUGAGGUGGAGCGACUUCGCAUGUGGACUAGAGACACUGAGGAGGAAAACAUGGACAUGUAUUCUCGGGUGAAGCGCAGAAAAUCCAUGCGCAGGGGCACUUUCAGCAUGCCUACACACCACAAAGUCAUGAGCAAGACGGAGCAGGAGGAUGAAGAGGAGGAAGGGACGGAAGAUUCUCACGGCGAGGAAGAGGAGGAUGCAGAGGAUGAAGACGACGAAGGGGAUGAAGCAGAAGAGGCAGGAGAGGAAAAUGACAGGCCGUACAAUCUGAGGCAGCGGAAGACGGUGCAGAGAUAUGAGGCACCACCUAUUGAGCCUGUGAAUAGAAAACAGAGCAACCCCUCACUUUUUGACACCCACAGAUCCCCAGCAAGAAGAAGCCAUAUAAGAGUGAAGAAACAUGCCAUUCACAGCAGUGACACCACCUCGUCUUCUGAUGAAGAGCGGUUUGAGCGGAGGAAAAGCAAAAGCAUGACCCGGGCCAGGAACAGAUGUUUGCCCAUGAACCUGGCGUCAGAAGACCUGGCUAGUGGGGUGCUGCGUGAUCGGGUGAAAGUGGGUGCCAGCUUGGCUGAUGUGGAUCCCAUGAACCUUGAUAGCUCAGUGAAAUUUGACAAUGUGGGUGGCCUCAGUAAUCACAUUCAGUCACUAAAGGAGAUGGUCGUGUUCCCACUGCUUUAUCCUGAGAUCUUUGAGAAGUUUAAGAUUCAGCCUCCCAGAGGGUGUUUGUUCUACGGCCCCCCGGGUACAGGAAAGACCCUGGUGGCACGGGCGCUUGCCAAUGAGUGUAGCCAGGGAGACAGAAAAGUUUCCUUCUUCAUGAGGAAGGGAGCCGACUGCCUCAGCAAGUGGGUCGGCGAAUCAGAACGCCAGCUACGCCUGCUCUUUGACCAGGCUUACCUGAUGAGGCCGUCCAUCAUUUUCUUUGAUGAGAUUGAUGGUUUGGCUCCUGUUCGCUCCAGCAGGCAAGACCAGAUACACAGUUCUAUUGUGUCCACUCUGCUGGCCUUGAUGGACGGCUUGGACAGUCGUGGGGAGAUAGUGGUCAUCGGUGCUACAAACAGACUUGACUCUAUCGACCCGGCACUCAGGAGGCCUGGACGCUUUGACCGGGAGUUUCUGUUCAACCUGCCCGACAAGAAGGCCAGAAAGCACAUCUUGGAGAUUCACACACGGGACUGGAAUCCCAAAUUGGCUGAGCCAUUUGUAGAUGAACUUGCAGAAAAAUGUGUCGGCUACUGCGGUGCUGACAUCAAAGCACUUUGCACAGAGACAGCCUUGGCGGCGUUGCGCCGCCGCUACCCCCAGAUCUAUGGCAGCAGCGUCAAACUGAAGCUGGAUGUCGGCUCCAUCGUCCUGGGGCCUGGCGACUUCAGCAAGGCCAUGAGGACAAUCGUCCCUGCUUCCCAGAGGGCCCUGGCUCCCCCUGGCCGAGCCCUGUCCCCCGCCCUCAGGCCCCUGCUGGCCAGCUCUUUCUCCUUGUUGCUGAAAGCUCUGCUCCGAGUCUUCCCCCACGCUCAGUGUACUGACAGGGACAGCACACACGGCGCCGACAAUCAACUGCUUGAAGAGGACGUGUACAGUGAUGAUGACAAUGAAGAACGCUCUGCUUCCAUCUAUGAAGUCCAGCCUGCUGCAUCCCCAAAGAGUCAGCACUCCUCUUCUGCAACGCACAGACCCUUCCUCCAUUUCUCCUCCUCUGCCCUCCAACAGCCGACGGCCUACCGGCCUCGUCUGUUGCUGACCGGGCCCCCGGGCUCAGGACAGAGUUCCCACUUGGCCCCUGCCUUGCUGCACCGCCUGGACAAGCUGCCAGUGCACCUCCUGGAUUUGCCCACUCUCUACUCCGUCAGCGCUAAGACGCCAGAGGAGUCCUGUGCUCAGGUUUUCCGCGAGGCCCGCCGGAGCGUGCCCAGUGUGGUGUUCAUGCCACAUAUCUCAGAGUGGUGGGAGAUAGUGAGUGACACUGUGAAGAGCACCUUCCUCACCCUGCUGCACGAUGUGCCCUCUUUCAGCCCUGUCCUUAUCCUCGCCACUGCUGAGACCCACUACUCCCAGCUGUCAGACGAGGUGAGAAGUAUUUUCCAGAGGACCUAUGGGGAGGUAGUGACGCUGUGCCCUCCAGCAGCAGAGGACAGGAGGAGCUUCUUCGCUGACCUGCUGUUGGUCCAGGCGGCCAGGGCUCUGCCACGCUUCAGGAAUAAGGAGAGGCGUGAAGAGGUACUGCCGAUGGCCGAGGCUCCAGGCCCCAGGGUCCUGUCGGCAGAGGAACAGCGCCGCCUGGCUGAGCAGGAGGAGAACACACUACGAGAGCUCAGGCUCUUUCUCAGGGACGUGACCAAGCGCCUGGCCACUGACAAACGCUUCAACAUCUUCAGCAAGCCAGUUGACAUUGAUGAGGUGUCCGACUACCUGGAGGUUAUUCGGCAGCCUAUGGACCUGUCCACUGUCAUGACCAAGAUUGACACCCUCCAGUACCUGACCGUGAAGGACUUCCUGAUGGACAUCGAUCUCAUCUGCAGUAAUGCAUUAGAAUACAACCCUGACAAGGAUCCCGGAGACAAGGUGAUCAGGCAUCGAGCAUGCAGUUUAAAGGACACAGCCCAUGCUAUAUUUGCUGCCGAGCUGGACCCCGAGUUCGACCGCAUGUGCGAAGAGAUCAAGGAGGCACGCAGGAAGAGGGACCCCCAGGCGCCAGCUCAGCUGACGCCGCUGAUGGGCGCUGUGGCAAACAGAAAGCCCCACACCGCAGGAGAGGAGCAGGCCAGGAGCAGCACUCAGGGCGAGGCCACGGACAAACGGUGCACCACUAAUCACAUAAAGCGGAAGAUUCGCCGGCGACCAUCUUGGGGGCGGGGCAUCAUCCGUAAGAAGAAGAUCUACAGGAAGGAAAUGGAAGAGGAGGAGGAGGAGGAGGAAGGGGCAGAGGUGGAAGCUGCAGGGCCCAGUGACUCAUGUGUGACACAGGAUGAGGAAUCAUCAUCUUGUGACACCAUGGGUCCCCAGCCCAAUGGCCACCACCCCCACGUCCCCUCCACAGAGGAGGAGAGCUCUAACGAGCCCCCUGUUGCAGCUCCAGCUGAACCUCCAGAUACCAGUAAAGCCCAAGAAGAGCCAACACCUAAGGAGGAGGAGCCCACAGCCAAAGAGGCAGAGCCUGAGAACACAGAGAAAUACAAUGCGCUGUUUUGGCUUGAUGGCAGUACUCAGCCCAUGGCUGACGGGGAUGGCCAGGCCAGGCAGGCUGACUUCCAGCCUUUGAUUGAAAUGUCCGAGUCUUUAGAUGCUGAGGUCCAGCCGAAGCACACAGAGGGUCUCCUAGUAUCACAAGUGGACUGUGUGAACGGAAAUGCGUCAAUGGACAGCCUGGACUCGCAGAGCCUCAAAAGCAGCAGUGAGGCUGAGAAAAGGACUCCUCAGAGCCCGGCUGAAGGCUCUAAUGAACCAGAACAGGAAGAGCACAAAGACAAAAAUGAGAGCAAUCCAACUCAGGAGCCCCCUCCCAAGGAUGGCAGGGUAGCAACAGAAAAUGUUGAGGAAGAUCAAGAUACAGAAGGGGGUUCCACAGCCAAGACAUGCAAGGUGAGCCUGUCAGAGCAGCUGAAGGGAUCUGCUGAAUGGACAGAGGAAGAGCCACAACCAGUCCCUCCCCAUCCUCCCUUAGUGGUUGACCACCAGCGACUUUUGGCUCUCCUGGAUAUGGUGGUGAAGAAGAGUGAGGGCUACAGUGUGGAGCAGCUGGAGAGACUGUACUCCCUCCUCAGCCAGUGUAUCUACCAGCACCGCAGAGAGUACGAAAAGACCCAGCUACUGGAGGAGAUGGAGGAGAGAAUCCAGCAUUUCGAUACAUUCCUGUGAGACUACCUAAUCGGGUAGAUCCUGAACAGCCUGGGACCACAAAGACACACAAACUGAGUGAGAGAGAGAGAGGGAAGGAGCUUCUGAGUCCAGCCCUCAACACAAAAACACACACAAAAAUCCAGCCCCCUUUUCUUGCUGGGAGGGGACACAACGAGGACGACGUUGAGGACAGAGACAUUCAAUGGUGCUAUCGUCUCAGGAACCUGGCCAGAUCCAGACCCAUUCUACACAACCAAACUCCUGGAGGUGUGUCAGUCACACACUUUUACACACACACACACACACACACACACACACACACACACACUAACGGUGACAGGCAACCCUGGUGCUACUCGGGUGCUAUCCUAACUUUUAUCCACGCUGCUCUUGGGAUUAUUUCUUAACUUGGAUGACUAGCAAAACCCAACAGAUCGGGUGAUGUCAUAUCGCAACCUGGCCGCUUCUCUCCGGAGCAGGCCGUGCAUACACACACCCUGACACUUGGUUAUGCAUGCAUUUCUACAGACACACACCCAGAAAUACACACACACACACACACACCAGAUUCUUACCAGCAAAAGUGUGAAUGCAGAGUGCCGCUAGGAGAUGAGGACAGAUAAUGUUCUGAAUCACUGAACCACAUUGCUGAGCCCAUCUUUCCCUCGCGUUUGAAUGCUUCGUCAUAGGCCAGUUAUUACCAUGCUAUUAUGCGGCUCAUUUUAUCUGCCAUUUUAGCUCCAUGCUUUUUAUUCAAUAUCUGAGCCACCGUCAAGGAUACUCACCCAGAACAAUGGUUUACAAAGAAGUUUUAGCGUGAACACAAACUCGAUGAGGUUAGCACAGGACUAGAGCCCAUGAUGUCCUCCUUCAUUACAGCAGUCACCGGAUGUGGAGAGCUGUUAGCCCCCUCAGCGUUUGUGUCCGAGUUACUGGUGAACAAGCGGCGCGGCGUGUGACUGUAGGUCAGUUGUACAACCACUACGCUCACAGACCACCUCUGGCGUUCACAGUCUUAACAGAUUGUCACGUCCUAAAUCGUUUGUGGUAGCUAACCCCUCCCCCCUCCUCAUUACAUUCACAGUCUGAAUGUUUUCCCUCCCACUCAAGCUGUGCCCGCCAGUUGAUUUUUCCUAAAGACACCCCGGCGGAGGAACUGGAAGCAGUACAAAUUUGAAUGCGUGUAGAGUUUGCACUGCCUAGUGUGUGCCUUAUUUCAAACCUCUAAUGAAACGCUGUUAUAUUCAGCAGGAUUUUUUUAUUUACUACUUGUGACAAUGAACAGGCUCCAAGUUGGGGUGGGCCCUAACCACUGAGGUCACAGUUACCUUAAAGCAAAAAUAUAUAUAUAUACAGUAUAUAUAUGAAUUUAAUUUUAAUAGACAUACCUAGGUUAUCUCCAACCUGGGCCAAAAAAACUAAUUGACAACAUUUAAAAAAUCAAAGAUAAAAGGUGUUCUAUACAGAUAAUACUUACCCUCUGCGGCUGUGUCUGUGUUGUGGCCAGAUACGUCUCAAGCUCUCGAAAUGUUUUGAUUUUUUAAAAUAUAUUCAUGCCCUGUUAAAACCCAGACCUGUUGGGGAGGUCAGUCUCCACCUGAGCGGACAGCAGGUGUAUGAAGAGGUUGACGACACCAGCUUUUCUUCAGUUUUCCAUAUGCAAAACAAAAAGAUUAUCAUGCGAGUCAAACGAUUUACCGUGCCAAGUGUUAUCCCACUCCCUAAUAAAAAGGUGCUGACAUGACGGUGCCUGUUCACAGGAAUUCUGUUUCAACUAUGAAAAUGUUCUACUAGACAGUCAUAACAACCUAUCUGUUAUGUCGUGAAUUUGAUAAUUAUUUUUUACGGGUUUAUUAUUAUUUGUUUUUUAUACAAAUGCUUUGCUUGAGUUGAGAUUUUGCAUGGGUUGUGAAUCCAUAAUGAACAAGGCCAUUCUAGGCAGUGCCCGUCACUAAGGUGUGUAAAGCAUUACAUGAUUUCCUUUUUUUUUUUUUUCUCUCCUCCUUUUUAAAUAAGUGUAUCGACUUUAUGGAUUUAUUUCAUCUGUUUUUCUCAACAAGACGAGAGAAGCUGGAUUCUCAUCUGAGGCCGACACAGUAAAGUUUUCUGACUGCAGUAAAUAAAGGUGUUCACUGAAGCUUUAUGACGUUUUCAUGGCAUUGUCAUGGUUUUGGAGAUGCCAUAUUUUGAGCUAGUUUGUACUGGAGAAGGUCCCCUCUUUCACUCUUGUCCAAUCCUCAAACCUCUUGGUGCAACUCUGACCCCAGCUCACCUCUGCCUUUUCUCAAAUUCUAGGUGAUAAAAGCAAAGACCAUAUGCAAACUGGCAACAACAGGUUAGCACUUGGACUACUGCAGAGAGAAAAACCAACGCUACCUCAGCUUAAUUUAUUUUAACGCAAAAACUGUUUACUGGGUACAAAAA